rnacentral:tRNA from 1 species
GUGCGCGUAGUCCAACUGGCAGAGACAGUUGAUUUAAAACCAACGCAGUGAGGGUUCGAGUCCCUUCGCGCACA